rnacentral:rRNA from 1 species
AACGAACGCUGGCGGCAUGCCUAACACAUGCAAGUCGAACGAAGCCUUCGGGCUUAGUGGCGCACGGGUGCGUAACGCGUGGGAAUCUGCCCUUGGGUUCGGAAUAACAGUUAGAAAUGACUGCUAAUACCGGAUGAUGUCUUCGGACCAAAGAUUUAUCGCCCAAGGAUGAGCCCGCGUAGGAUUAGGUAGUUGGUGGGGUAAUGGCCCACCAAGCCGACGAUCCUUAGCUGGUCUGAGAGGAUGAUCAGCCACACUGGGACUGGGACACGGCCCAGACUCCUACGGGAGGCAGCAGUGGGGAAUAUUGGACAAUGGGCGAAAGCCUGAUCCAGCAAUGCCGCGUGAGUGAUGAAGGCCUUAGGGUUGUAAAGCUCUUUUACCAGGGAUGAUAAUGACAGUACCUGGAGAAUAAGCCCCGGCUAACUCCGUGCCAGCCGCCGCCGUAAAAC